GUCGUCCGCGGGAGCCGCAAGGGCACGGCUGGCCGCAGCGGCUGUGGCACCGUGGGUGGCAGGUCGUCUUGCUCUGCCGGGGGUCUCCAAACGACGAGGACCGAGACCCAGACGCGCUAAAAGGCGCUGGAGAGAGGGAGACGGAGAGGUGGACGUGCAGAGUGAGCUUCAAAGAGGAAGAGAGCACAAGCAGAGGGAGUGGCAUGCGGAGGAAAAGAAGCAGACUCCCCGAGGAGCUGGACUCGAUCCCAGGACCCCAGGAUCAUGACCUGAGCUGAAGGGAAGAAGCUGAAAUCGGUGUGCAUGAAAGGAAAGCCAAGAUACAGAUGGAAACUUUGAUUUUUUU